GGAUGAGACAGUAAUCUGGCUGCGCCAUCGGUCACCUUGUUGGUCACCAGAGUUGACCCGGCUGAUCUGGCUGACCAUGUGGGUGUUCCUUUUCUCACCCAUUACUCCAGAUGUGACCCUCCUGAAGGAAGCUGUGUGCUGGGUGGAAGAGGGUGACCGCCUCCAAUAGGAGAGGACCCUCUCCUGGGUCAAGGGCCUUCAAGUACCUAUGCUCUCCUGCUAGAACCUCCAAACCAGCUCUUAAAACACUUUGCCAUCAAUCUUCUCACAAUAUGCUGUGAAGAUAGCUUAGUGGCAUAAGUGCCUGUCUGACAAGCAUAAGGUCCUGAAUUUGAUCGCUGGUACAUACACACACAAAAAUUCAGAUCC
rnacentral:snRNA from 1 species